UACGGGGGGGGCAAGCGUUGUUCGGAAUUACUGGGCGUAAAGGGCUCGUAGGCGGCCAACUAAGUCGGACGUGAAAUCCCCAGGCUCAACCUGGGAACUGCGUCCGAUACUGGAUGGCUUGAAUCCGGGAGAGGGAUGCAGAAUUCCAGGUGUAGCGGUGAAAUGCGUAGAUAUCUGGAGGAAUACCGGUGGCGAAGGCGGCAUCCUGGACCGGCAUUGACGCUGAUGAGCGAAAGCUAGGGGAGCAAACGGG
rnacentral:rRNA from 1 species